CAUUCCUUUAUAUUUUUAUGCAUACUGGCUUAGCUCUUUUGCGAAAUAACAAAUUUGCCUUUGUUUUUAGCUAAUAGUUGCCGGUCGAAAUUUUCACAUCCAACUGGCUUUUAAAGUUUUCUUACAUAGUGAACGUCAAUUAGAGGCUAAACGGUUAACCCGUUUAGCUGGCUAACGUUACUAGCUCGCUCGCUAUCUAGAUGGGUAGCUACCUGGUAAAUGUUGUUAGCGAUUGAAUAAGCAAGCUAACGGUAAGUUAGCCAACAUCAGCUAGCAUUCGAUGACCGUCGAAGACUGUAGGCUAACAUCUGAUCUAGACGACCGUCUUACUGUUUGGUGUGCGUCUUCGCGUAAACAAGGAGCGCAAGCACUUUUAACGUUUUAAAUCACUUAGAUUUAGUACAGGCAGCUGGGUUGCUAGCGAUCUAGGAAACUGGGGGACUUGGCUACCAUAGUUUCCGUCUUGGACGAAAAGCAUCACGUUUGUUUACAGUUCUUGUAGCUAGCUGGCUAAGUUAGCUAAUUAGCUUUCACUAACGCCUGCCAGUAAACCUAGCCUAGCUAGCUAAAGUAAAGGGAACUUAUCCACUGUCAGACAACAGGGAGCUGCCGUUAUGUAUUGAUAGCUAGUUAGUUUAAUAAAAUAAUAUUUACUAAUAACUUAUCAUAAUGAACAUUAAAUACUAGUACGCAUAAUAGUACAAGUUAGCUACUACUAGCUUGUUGCCCUCUCAACCUUUUUUUUUCUUAUGCAGAUGUACUAACUGCAUAUCACAAAUUAUUUUUUUUAGGAAGGCAAGAGCAGAGGUACCUUACUAGGUAGCUGCUUAAAGUGUAUUUAAAUCAAUGAAAAGGUUAAAAUUAGGUGAAAUAGUUUCAGUAUUGUCGUCGUCAUAUAUAUUUUGAAGAACUUGUAUCCUUGGGAAUAUUUCGUGUCUGCAUUUCCUUAUCUGUAAGUUUUGUCAAUACUUGUGCAUGGUAGAUAGCCUAUGUACAAGCCAUUUAAUAUGCAUCAUGUGGCUUUCCAUAGCUCUACUCUACUUUUAGACUUGGUGUUUCUUAAGUUGGAAAACACUUGAUGGAAGGUGCACACCUACCAGUUAAACACUUAUGUCAUGAGCCUCAGUAACAUUCACUGCAAUUAGGCUAUGGCCAGUGUUAAGUUGUCUACAUUCUUCCUCCAGUUGCUGUAUAAAUAUCAAUGCACAUCCAUGUAUGGGCCUCACUGCCGUUUCGCUUGAGCAAGAAUUGGAGUAGUGGAAUUGUAACGGCAGGCAAAGCUGGCCCUAUGGGGGAUUGAUCUCUGGGACUUUGUGGCAGGACUCUUGGAAUUGUCAGCGCAGCACCACUGCAGGAAGUAUUCUGGCAGUGUGAGUCUUCGGCGCUCUCAAUGUUGAAUGUGGCUUGUGUUGUACUUUUAAGACUUUGUUUUGUAGAGGUCAUGCUUUAUCUGUAGGCACUUAUUCUGCCAUGGAAUCUUCAGGUGGACAAAUGCCUUCUGGUCUUGUAGGCUGCUCCAAACAUUUGUUUCCUUUUCUUAGGUGCGUCGUUACACUGUAAGUACCCAAUGUCCCUUAUUGAUUUAUCUAAAGGUGAGGGGGAAAUAAAAUUAACAUUUGAAACACAACUGCUGGGAAAUGUAGGUUGUGUUCCGGUGAAUCAUUCUCUGCCGAAACGUGCGCUGGUGUUAAAGUCAUCGGAUUACCUCUUACCUUUCAGUCUGCCCACUUCAGCUGAUCUACACUGAAGAUCAUUGAGUGUGGAGCAUUAUCAGUAGCAUUUUCUUUAUAUGUUACUUCUGAAAGCAAUGAAACCUCUUCAUUGGCACUACAUAGUUAUUCAUAAAUGCUUGUGUCAAGAACCACAGCUAUUCAUAAGACAUUGCAUAACCACUAAUGCAUCAAGUGAUAUUACCAUGGCAUACCAAACUGCACACCAUAUGCCCAUUUGACUUUAUUUACAUACUCAGUGUCUGUGUUGUACUUGGGAUGAAGCUCUGCAGCUUUUAUGAAGGCCAGUUUGUCGAAAAUGUUACCAAAAUUUGAUGCACCGUGAUCCCUGAAAACACAUCUAUGGUCUUCAGAGGAUUUCUCUUUUUUGAAUACAAAUCAAAUUUACUGUCCAUAUUCUGGAAUAAAUGGAAUUUCACCAGUGAUUAAAAAAAAAAA